rnacentral:tRNA from 1 species
CAAGUGGUGAAGGCAAUUACCUUUGAACCCACUGUGAUCUGCUCGCGCAGGUUCGAGCCCUGUCAG